rnacentral:rRNA from 1 species
AUACGGAGGGUGCGAGCGUUAAUCGGAAUUACUGGGCGUAAAGCGUGCGUAGGCGGUUUGGCAAGUCAGGUGUGAAAGCCCUCGGCUCAACCGAGGAACUGCACUUGAAACUGCCAGACUGGAGUUCGGGAGAGGGUAGCGGAAUUCCGGGUGUAGGGGUGAAAUCCGUAGAUAUCCGGAGGAACACCGGUGGCGAAGGCGGCUACCUGGACCGAUACUGACGCUGAGGUACGAAAGCGUGGGGAGCAAACAGGAUUAGAAACCCCUGUAGUCC